UACGUAGGGUGCGAGCGUUGUCCGGAAUUACUGGGCGUAAAGAGCUCGUAGGUGGUUUGUCGCGUUGUUCGUGAAAACUCACAGCUCAACUGUGGGCGUGCGGGCGAUACGGGCAGACUGGAGUACUGCAGGGGAGACUGGAAUUCCUGGUGUAGCGGUGGAAUGACGCAGAUAUCAGGAGGAACACCGAUGGCGAAGGCAGGUCUCUGGGCCACUACUGACGCUGGAGAAGCGAAAGCAUGGGGAGCGAACAGG
rnacentral:rRNA from 1 species